AGUACUGUGGCAUAGUAGAUUUGCACCAGGCAACCUGGGCGCCCAAAAAGGCUGCUGUUUACUUGCAAAUGGCCAACGUAUUGUGAGCAUGUUGAAGUUCUUUUUUUAUUCUCAUCGCUUAUUUAGCUAGUGGAGACAGCUUUCACAACUGAAGAAGCCUUGGAAGCAUGAAACACUUCACAAAACCAGCUUCAAUAUAAUGUGUCUGCAUCACAAUUUCAUGCCUGCAUGAGUGAACCCUCUGGUUAACAUGUAAGAGUGUUCAUGAUGUUUGCCAUGCAUUAUCCACUUUAUUUACAGGUCAACCCUAUCUUGACGUUUAAGCUGAUGUUGCGUUUAGAGAAAUUAUGGCCGAGAGCCAGCUUUUGAGAAUACAGAUUGAGCUCGACAGAUUAAACGCCAGAACAAGUCGUCGAGGAUUUCAGAUCAAGAAUCUUCAAAGGCCAGUUCAUUUAGUGGUGUUAAUAUUCUGCUCAAAGUUGUUUAUUGUUACGUUCAUAUGGUGCCCAAGCAUUGCGGUAACAACUUCACUUGGAGUACAUAGCAAGGGUGUAUGCGACGUAAGCUGCUGGCUUUUUCUAUGUUUUCAAAAACUGGUUUCUUGUUCAGUCUAAAUUUUCAAAUUUUGCAUUGUUUAUAAGGUGUUGUGUCCUGCUUCCUUUUCCUGCAGCUUCUUAGUUAAACAUCUGAAUAGUGAACACAACUUGACCUUUUGCUUGAUUUUCUAGAUUACACACCCUCGAUGCAAAACAAUUUCACUUCAAAACUGCUUGUACUGUACUGAAAGAAUAACUUGAAGCAGCCAUAGCCACCAAUAACACGCAAGAGAUGAUUAUGAAAUUUGUAAUAUUGUUUUUUGAUCUACAGGGUGUCUUAACUAUCGUGAACCAAGAUUUAGAAAUAUGUAAAUGCGAUGUAACUAGACAAAAUGAAGGUAAUGUUGUUUGCCGUCGCUUGAAGAUACUCUGAUUAUAUUUUGCAUUCUGCUUAAUUACAUAAUUCUUAAUUAGUUAAUAAAUAUCUCAAAUAAUUAAAUUAAAUGUGUCAAUGAAAAGUUGUAGAGCAAUAUGAAAGCCUCCUUAUACACUUUUUUGUUACUGUUACUCAUUGUGUGCUACAUAAAAGUGUUUUUCCAAGGAAUAAGCCUGCGAAUACACAUAAAGUGUCUUGAGUGGCCAGUCAUGUGUCAGUUUUGUGGUGCAAAGCCACGAAUACACCUUAAAUGGGUUCUUUUAGGAAAAAGACUUGGCUCAGAAAAUUAUCCUUCUUUAUGCAGCCUGUGGAGACAAGGUUUCUUAGACAUGGCCAUGGCCCUCAAGGAAGAUGCCGAGGCCACAGGCAGUUCCUCCAGUGAGCGUGAAAAGGUCCCCUGGGGCACAAGUCUAAUUUGGCACCCCUACCUUUCUCCUGCAGCUUUUCUGUCUACUUAGCUAACCAGCAGCAAGUUUAUCCUUGCAAGCAUUUUGGGUCAAGAACAACUUUCACCAGGAAGAAGGGCAAGACGAGUGAUUGAAGAAAAUAAAGUUGCUUCUGUGAUCUAAGAA